rnacentral:rRNA from 1 species
GACGUAGGGCGCGAGCGUUGUCCGGAUUUAUUGGGCGUAAAGAGCUCGUAGGCGGUCUGUCGCGUCGGAUGUGAAAACCCAGGGCUCAACCCUGGGCCUGCACUCGAUACGGGCAGACUAGAGUAUGGCAGGGGAGACUGGAAUUCCUGGUGUAGCGGUGAAAUGCGCAGAUAUCAGGAGGAACACCGGUGGCGAAGGCGGGUCUCUGGGCCAAAACUGACGCUGAGGAGCGAAAGCGUGGGGAGCGAACAGG